CUCGGAGGUGCGGAGUGGGAACUCGGAGGGGACCCUGGGAAGCCCCGGUGCUUUCCCCGGCGACCGCUUAGCCGCUCCUGAACUCGGCUUCCAGUGGGGCCACCACUGAAACCGGCGACCGUUUCCGCCUCGCUGCCUGCCGCUCGGAGUGUACUAUUUCUUGAACCUCCUGUCCGCGGGCCGCAACAUCUAGAUCGUGGAAGAGAGGGCAGUUGUUUUAGGAUUCUACCUAGGGUUGGCCGAGAAAGGAGAAGAAAUACGGUGUCUGCGCUAGCGCGUGCGCCCCGGGGAGUUGGAGUCAGUUGGCAGUGCCCAGACUGCGGGCUGCGCUUGGUCGGGCACCCCAGGCAAAAAAGAAAAAAAAAAAAGAGAAAGAAAGAGGAGGAGACAGUGAUUGCAGCCUCUCCCGGCGCAGGUGGCAGAGCCUUGCGGCUUUGGAGAGAGGUGGAGCCUUGGUGAGGUUGGGAGGACUGCCUAACUGCGAUCUUUUUCUCCAUUCUUCCUCCUGGGAACUUCUCCGCCCUGAAAGGGUAGCGUGAGCUUCAUGCCUUCGGCCGGCCGUGUUAUACUCGUUAGACCCAAUUCACCAUGAAUCCUUUGAAAGACUAGUGGAGAGUGAGAAGGGGGUUUCAAAGUCACUGGAGUAAAGGAAUUCUCCAAGCACCACCUCAUGAUUAAUUCUUGGAAAAGCCUGUUUGCGCGGCCCUUAGAAUCAUUUUGACUUCUUGUCUAAUGGUGAAGUUUUUCUCUGUAAUCCUUCUACUCUGUUUUCUAAAACCAGAACUAAAAACCUAAAAAAUUGUAAAACUUCAUGGUGUAAUUAAAACCCCUUCACCAUUUUUUUUAAGUAAGAUUGUGUGGCCUUAUUGCACAAUUUAAAUUCCUGGAAAAACCUCUUCCCAUCUGCAGUGUACAAGCAUUCUAACAUAUUAUGUCUCCUCACAGGAGUCUAGUGUGAUCUUGGCUUACUGCAACCUCUGCCUCCUGGGUUCAAGCGAUUCUUCUGCCUCAGCCUCCCGAGUAGCUGGGACUACAGGCAUGCAC
rnacentral:lncRNA from 10 species